rnacentral:rRNA from 1 species
CCUACGGGAGGCAGCAGUGGGGAAUAUUGCACAAUGGGGGAAACCCUGAUGCAGCAACGCCGCGUGAGUGAUGACGGCCUUCGGGUUGUAAAGCUCUGUCUUCAGGGACGAUAAUGACGGUACCUGAGGAGGAAGCCACGGCUAACUACGUGCCAGCAGCCGCGGUAAUACGUAGGUGGCGAGCGUUGUCCGGAUUUACUGGGUGUAAAGGGAGCGUAGGCGGACUUUUAAGUGAGAUGUGAAAUGCUCGGGCUCAACUUGAGUGCUGCAUUUCAAACUGGAAGUCUAGAGUGCAGGAGAGGAGAAGGGAAUUCCUAGUGGAGCGGUGGAAUGCGUAGGGAUUAAGGAGAACACCAGUGGCGAAGGCGGUUCGCUGGACUGUAACUGAAGCUGAGGGUCGAAAGCGUGGGGAGCAAACAGGAAUAGAUACCCUGGUAGUUC